rnacentral:lncRNA from 1 species
UUUGAAAAAAUAUAUUCAACCAGCUUAAUUUUUCUAAUUUUGUUUUUGUUAAAUCCUGUUUUCUUAUUAACUAUUGAUUGCUAAGCAGCAGGCAGUGUGCUAAGUACGUUACCUGGAUUAUCCGGUUAAUCCUUCCAAUAGCUACACGGUGAAGACACAGAUGUCCACAUCUUCUGCAGAUAAGGAAACUGAGGGGUAAUAAUAAAUAAUUUGCACAACACAGCACAAAGCUGAGGAGCCAACACUGGACCUGACGAAGUCCCAUUCUGGAAGCCAAACUCCCAACUGCUAAGCUCUGCUUGAAUUCUCAUUGAGCAUCUCGCUUCUUUAAAGUUUCAACAACUCAGCAGUCUAUAAUCCAACUCGCCUUCUCCGCAAUGCCAAAAGUGCAAUGAGCUUCAUGCUGAAUACUGAUUUGAAGUGUGGUUCACCACACAGACUUAAAUUGUCCUUCCCACAACUUUAUCUGAGAAGCCUGACAACGGUGACAAUCACAGGACUAGUUUUAUUGGACAGGCAACUUUCUGGGUCUGAGAAAGAGAAGGCUUCCAGGAGGUCUGCAGCCACCUGCUUCAGCCACUGCUGGUAUCCACAUCUUCAAAGCGGAGGUUUAGCCACACCCAGAGGGGGGAAUAAUACUUGCAGAAAACAACGCUCAGAAAUUGGUGUCACCUGAUUCCCCGCAGCAGAGCAGACCAGCUGUCUCCUGUACAGGUGGAAGCAGCUUGCACGCUUCCUGCCAUCCGCAUGCUCACUCCUCCCUCACAGUCCCAGAAAUGGAAUCCCAAGAGGCCGCUCAGGCAAGCCAGAUAGAGCCACCCAUGUGAUCAAGCAUUCAGGGCGUGAGGGCCCCCACUGCCAUGGCCCAGAAAAUACAUGCAUCAACAUGACUCAUGUCAUUUGCUUGCCCUUGGUGAAUU